GACGAACGCUGGCGGCGUGCUUAACACAUGCAAGUCGAACGGAAAGGCCCUGCUUUUGUGGGGUGCUCGAGUGGCGAACGGGUGAGUAACACGUGAGUAACCUGCCCUUGACUUUGGGAUAACUUCAGGAAACUGGGGCUAAUACCGGAUAGGAGCUCCUGCUGCAUGGUGGGGGUUGGAAAGUUUCGGCGGUUGGGGAUGGACUCGCGGCUUAUCAGCUUGUUGGUGGGGUAGUGGCUUACCAAGGCUUUGACGGGUAGCCGGCCUGAGAGGGUGACCGGCCACAUUGGGGUCGAGAUACGGCCCAGACUCCUACGGGAGGCAAGAGUGGGGAAUAUUGCACAAUGGGCGGAAGCCUGAUGCAGCAACCCCGCGUGGGGGAUGACGGCCUUCGGGUUGUAACCCGCUUUCGCCGGUGACGAAGCUUGAGUGAGGGUAAUGGGUAAAAAAGCACCGGCUAACUACGU
rnacentral:rRNA from 1 species